rnacentral:rRNA from 1 species
UACCUACGGGGGGCAGCAGUGGGGAAUAUUGCACAAUGGGGGAAACCCUGAUGCAGCGACGCCGCGUGAGCGAGGAAGUACCUCGGUAUGUAAAGCUCUGUCAGCAGGGAAGAAAAUGACAGUACCUGACCAAGAAGCCCCGGCUAACUACGUGCCAGCAGCCGCGGUAAUACAUAGGGAGCGAGCGUUAUCCGGAUUUAUUGGGUGUAAAGGGUGCGUAGACGGGAAUACAAGUUGGUUGUGAAAGCCCUCGGCUUAACUG